rnacentral:lncRNA from 1 species
UUUUUAGCAUCAUGACAUUCUGUAUCAUUGAUAAAAUUUGAUAAAUUUACAAAUCUGAUAAAAUUCUUGAAUUUUUUUAUAUCUCAUUACGGGUGUGCCAUAUCCCAUCAUAAUAAUCAGUGUUUUUUCAUAUCGCAAAGAGUGUUAUCACGAAAAUACCAUAAAAUAUUGUCAUAUAACAUUAAGGCAAUAUCACCCAUAAAAACAAGUUACUCUUGUUCAGCAGGUUAAUCUUAUACUGCCAGCAUUUAGAUGGAACAUUAAUAAUGAUUAAUUAAGAAAAUAAAUAAUAAAGCUUUUCUUUUUAGAUUUCCAGUUAUCAGCUUAACAAAAUAUCUUGCUGUACCAUGUGAAACAUUCCUACAUUGCCCAAAAAGUCAAGCGCUGGGUCCGAAUGUGUCACACAGACAGAUUAAACCACUAUCUUUUGACUUUUGAUAUCCUGCUGCAGUUAUUUAGCUAAAAAUUAAAUUCAUGGUUUAAAUAAAUAUUAAUUAUGUUUGUGUUUUCAUAUUAUUAAUACAGUGUUUUGAAUGAUUUACAAAUAAUAUUUUGUACAGGCCUUUUCUAGGUUGUCAUAACGUAAAAAUGCCCGUUUCACAGAACUUAAAUUAUGACAAAAACUCUACAUAAAAAUCUAGUGCAGUAAAUUACCUUUAAAUGUUGGGUUUUUAAAUUGUACAGUGUCUUAUUUGUAUUUUACUUAAAUGUAACAGGAGGACAGGUAAGACUUUAGAAAACAAUCUGUGUCGCUUUUUGAAAGGUCAUAAGAAACCACAGCAUGUAUGAACUAGAUAAAGAUUAGAGACUGAAGCUGUUCUGCUGGAACUGCAGCUGCAGAAAGCAAAAGGUCAUGUUUUUUAACUUUCCGCUCACUGUGUACCCUUAGAGCUGUAGGUGAAGGUGGGCAUGUCUGUUAGAAGUGCUGUAUAUUCAGAGAUAAAUGACCAAAGCCAUUUUUCUCCUGAUCCAGAUGCUGGUGCAUAUGAGAACGUCUUCCCUGCAAAAUAUAUUGACCAUGACUCUGACAGCUACGAUUAUGAAAACGCACAGUAUCUGCAGAACAACGAUGACGGUAAUUAUAACAAAUUUACUCAAAUUUGCCCUUGUUUGAGUUUAUUAUGUAAAACACUGAAUAUAAAUCACUCAUGCUUACACUGACUCUUCUCUUUGGAACAGAUGAACCUGAUUAUGAAAAUACUAAUCCCCUUGUUCAUCAUGAAAACAUGAGUUAAAAUGUUAAUUUAUUUCAGUACCUCGAAGCAAUUAAAGUAUAAUUUUAGCUAAAGCUAGUGAUACCAACUAUAUCUGUAUUUUCUUAUUAGGUGGUUUUAUGGAGUGUUACUGUGAAUUCAUGUUUUUUUUGUGUGAAAUGAUGUAACAAAAUGUAGAUUUUAUUUGUUAUUUUAUCUGUUGUUACAAGCA